UUGCCUCAGUAACGGCGAGUGAAGCGGCAACAGCUCAAAUUUGAAAUCUGGCCCCCCGGCCCGAGUUGUAAUUUGCAGAGGAUGCUUCGGGCGCGGUGCCUUCCAAGUCCCCUGGAACGGGGCGCCGGAGAGGGUGAGAGCCCCGUACGGUUGGCGGCCAAGCCUGUGUGAAGCUCCUUCGACGAGUCGAGUAGUUUGGGAAUGCUGCUCUAAGCGGGAGGUAGACCCCUUCUAAAGCUAAAUAUAGGCCAGAGACCGAUAGCGCACAAGUAGAGUGAUCGAAAGAUGAAAAGCACUUUGAAAAGAGGGUUAAACAGCACGUGAAAUUGUUGAAAGGGAAGCGCUUGCGACCAGACGUGCGCCGGGGUGCUCAGCGGGCGUUCUCGCCCGUGCACUCGCCCCGGCGCAGGCCAGCGUCGGUUCGCGUGGGAGGAUAAAGGCGCCUGGAAUGUGGCUCCCUCGGGAGUGUUAUAGCCAGGCGUGCCAUGCUCCCCUGCGGACCGAGGUACGCGUUCUGCAAGGACGCUGGCGUAAUGGUCCCCAGCGACCCGUCUUGAAACACGGACCAAGGAGUCGAGGUUUUGCGCGAGUGUUUGGGUGUUAAACCCGCACGCGUAAUGAAAGUGAACGUAGGUGGGAGCUUCGGCGCACCACCGACCGAUCCUGAUGUUCUCGGAUGGAUUUGAGUAAGAGCGUAGGGCCUCGGACCCGAAAGAUGGUGAACUAUGCUUGGAUAGGGUGAAGCCAGAGGAAACUCUGGUGGAGGCUCGCAGCGGUUCUGACGUGCAAAUCGAUCGUCAAAUCUGAGCAUGGG
rnacentral:rRNA from 1 species